UACGUAGGGGGCAAGCGUUGUCCGGAUUUAUUGGGCGUAAAGAGCGUGUAGGCGGUCAGGUAGGUCAGCUGUGAAAACUCGAGGCUCAACCUCGAGACGCCGGUUGAAACCAUCUGACUAGAGUCCGGAAGAGGAGAGUGGAAUUCCUGGUGUAGCGGUGAAAUGCGUAGAGAUCGGGAGGAACACCAGUGGCGAAGGCGGCACCCUGGACCAGCACUGACACUGAGGCACGAAAGCGUGGGGAGCAAACAGG
rnacentral:rRNA from 1 species